CCUGAGAAACCCAAAAGAUCGAAUGGGGAGAUUCAUCGUCAGCGAUCUCGGCACGUGCGCGGUUCGCGAUGUCGAGAGGUCUCGGCCUCUCGGCACGCGUCCGUGUGUUUCAUUGCCGGGUGUCGUCGGCGUGCACUUCUCCCCUAGUAGGACGUCGCGACCCGUUGGGUGUCGGUCUACGGCCCGGGUGGGAGCCUGUCACGCGUAACGCCUCGCGGCGUCGCGUGGCCAGACCCCCGGUUGCCCGACCAGCUGCCCGGCGGUACUCGCACGGUAUCGAGCCGCAAAUAUUCGAAUUGCGUCCGGCCCGCCGCAAGCUGUGCCAGUGUUAUAACCCGGAUGUACGGACCUAGCGCCGUCACCGGGCCUGGCCGGCUGUUGGCCGGCGGUGUCCUGGGACCGGCUCUAAAUUUUACCGGUCAGCGACGCUACUGCUUUGGGUACUUUCAGGACCCGUCUUGAAACACGGACCAAGGAGUCUAACAUGUGCGCGAGUCAUUGGGAGCUAAAAGCCUAAAGGCGCAAUGAAAGUGAAGGUCGGCAUCGCGCCGACAGAGGGAGGAUGGACCGCGUUACGAUGCGGUCCCGCACUCCCGGGGCGUCUCGUUCUCAUUGCGAGAAGAGGCGCACCCAGAGCGUACACGUUGGGACCCGAAAGAUGG
rnacentral:rRNA from 1 species